rnacentral:lncRNA from 1 species
CAGCCAAGCAUUGCUAAUCAUAGAUACUAAGGGCUUGUUUGGUUCAUCCAUUUUGGAUAUGGAAUGAGAAUCGGUUUGAUCAAAUCCGGUUAAUUUUGUUUGGUUCGCAUGAAUCGGUUUGGGAUUCCUAUUCCGGACUGGAAUGGGAAUGGUCCAUUAGCCUUCAACUUGAUUCCGGUCUUCUAGCCCGGAUUGAGAUUUCAUUCCGGAAGCCCGCUAAGUUCUCGAAGCCCAUGUGACCAUCUCACCCUCCUUCUCUUCACCCCUUUCUCAUUAAAAAAAAAAAAAAACCAAUCCUCUCUAAAACCCUAUCCCUAACCCACAUCAAUAAAAAUUUUUAAAAAUAAAUUU